AGAGUUUGAUCCUGGCUCAGGAUUAACGCUGGCGGUAUGCCUAACACAUGCAAGUCGAACGGAAUACUAAUUAAGAGAAUCUCACACUAGUGAGAGGUUCUCACGAGUAGUAUUUAGUGGCGGACGGGUGAGUAACACGUUGGAACCUGCCCCGAAGUGGGGAAUAACUGCUCGAAAGAGUAGCUAAUACCCCAUAGUAUCCGGGUUUAUCCGGGAUUAAAGAUUUAUCGCUUCGGGAGGGGCCUGCGUCUGAUUAGCUAGUUGGUGAGGUAAAAAGCUCACCAAGGCGACGAUCAGUAGCUGGUUCGAGAGGAUGACCAGCCACACUGGGACUGAGAUACGGCCCAGACUCCUACGGGAGGCAGCAGUGAGGAAUCUUCCACAAUGGCGCAAGCCUGAUGGAGCAAUACCGCGUGCAGGAAGACGCUUUUCGGAGUGUAAACUGCUUUUGUCGUCGAAGAUUAUGACUGUAGACGAAGGAUAAGGACCGGCUAACUACGUG
rnacentral:rRNA from 1 species